UGUGAGUGUGUCUGUGGGCGUGGGUGUUUCUCAAAAUGCAUACCACCGUUCUCCGAGCACGCAAAUUGGAGCACGCAUCAGUCCAAAUCAAAGUAUGCUAAAUGGAGCACGGAGGAGUUUCAACGGUAAGCUUCAACGCAAACCACAACUGAUCACCUGUAGUCAUUGUGAAGACCCCGAAGAGAUACCUACACUAACAGACAGCGCCACGACAGCAGCUCUAAGUGCUUCCUCCCGCUGAAUAACCAUGGAUCAUGACGAGGGGUCAGGCCUACGUGAUGGAGCAACCUGGGUCUCCAGCUGCCGAGCCCCUCUCUGUGAUGGGUGUCUGGGGAGCAGGUAUAUCUGCGUGGCCCCAAGGAUCUCCAGGAGCUCCCACUGACAGAAUGCUAUCCCCAAUGCUGACAUUCAUUUUUCUUUAUCUGCUCCAAUCACUACCCUGCAGGCCAAACGAUUAGUUGAAUGUGGAACGUUCUAUCAACAUGUCAUUUUUUCAACAUACUGAUGUUGGAUGU